rnacentral:rRNA from 1 species
UAGGGAAUCUUCGGCAAUGGACGAAAGUCUGACCGAGCAACGCCGCGUGAGUGAAGAAGGUUUUCGGAUCGUAAAACUCUGUUGUUAGAGAAGAACAAGGACGUUAGUAACUGAACGUCCCCUGACGGUAUCUAACCAGAAAGCCACGGCUAACUACGUGCCAGCAGCCGCGGUAAUACGUAGGUGGCAAGCGUUGUCCGGAUUUAUUGGGCGUAAAGCGAGCGCAGGCGGUUUCUUAAGUCUGGUGUGAAAGCCCCCGGCUCAACCUGGGAGGGUCAUUGGAAACUGGGAGACUUGAGUGCAGAAGAGGAGAGUGGAAUUCCAUGUGUAGCGGUGAAAUGCGUAGAUAUAUGGAGGAACACCAGUGGCGAAGGCGGCUCUCUGGUCUGUAACUGACGCUGAGGCUCGAAAGCGUGGGGAGCAAACAGG